ACAUUGGAACUGGAGGUUAUGGAAGAGGGAGACCUGCCAGGGUUGAGAGACACUCGGGCACAGAGUGCCGAAGGCCUCGAGGUCCUCGCGCGUGGUGUUUCCCGGGAGCAGCAGAGCCUGCGCCGCUGGAUAGAGAAACAGGACAAGGGGAUCAGUACUGGCCCGCAGUCUGGGUUUCGGGUGACACGAGCUAAUGAAUCACCUCGAGGGACAGGCCACAUCACCUUGGCUGACACCCUCAUUUUGGGUGAGGAAUGGGAGGCUCAGAGAGGGCUGUGACUCAUAAGAGGUCACACAGCAAGCAAGUCCACCUAACAACUAGAGACUAUUCUCUCUAGUUCCAGCGAUCUCUCCCUUAGAACCUGUGUUAUCUGAGGCAUCUUGUCUGUCGAGAACUGUAUUAACUGCAGAGGUUGCUUUGGCUCAGCCCUGUCCAGAUUUUUGCUCCAGAGAUUACGUUGUACCAGCCCACCAGCUACUUAGAGCUACAGAGCAUUGAAAAUGUGGUAAAGAUGACAGGAAUUUC
rnacentral:lncRNA from 1 species